CUUCUAGCAAGAACCCCAGAACUCCAUUGACCCUGAAGAGGAACUGUGGUUUUCUACCCUUACCUUCAGUCUGCCAAAUGUUAGCUUUCCUGAGAUCCAUCCCCUUCCAGUUAACAACGAGAGGUGGUACCAAUAUUCCUGGCGCUGGGCGUCUGUGCCACCGUGUCAAUUGGCACGAGACAAGGAGGGAGAAGCCAAGAGGAGAGAUGGCUUUCUGUCCCCAUAGCUUCUCAAGGACCCUACAGGAUGCUGUGGGACACAAUGAGAUACAUCAGGACAGGACUACGGGCCUCGCCAGGUUUGGGGUUUGGGUCCUCUCAAUAAACUGUCUAUUUCUUGAACUUAACCCCUCCACUCCUUCCCCUCUGCCAGGUUAGGAAAAGGCGAGUAGGCCCCACACGUGUCCCGACCACAGUAGCCUUAGCGGGUCACUCACGGAGCACAACAGAGUUAUAGCAGCUCAUCUGCCAUAUAAACCGCUUGGCCGACCGAGUCCUCAUUGAAUUCUUUCAUUACCAUGUAAAGCGAAAUACAUUCACCUUUACUAUACACAGGCUGUGAGAACAUAAUAAACAAAACCUGAACGAGCUGCCCUUCGCUCUCUGCCCA
rnacentral:lncRNA from 1 species